CAGGAGGCCUAUCUGCUCGUUCUG
rnacentral:siRNA from 1 species